UGUCGCACCACGAGGCGCUG
rnacentral:snRNA from 1 species